UCACAGUACGUUGAGUUCUUUCUAUUCAUCACCCAAGCGUGGCUAAUAGGACAGAUGGUUGACAGAAUGACAGACAAUAUGCGUGACUCAGAGAGGAAGUUGCUACCAUCUUCUCUGUCCACUGAAGGAAUAUAUCCUCUGUGCUGGAAGCACCAGGGCAGAUCCCCAACUAUCCUUGUCAGAGCAACCCUGAAAUGAAGAUCAGAAUGGCUGCCUCAAGGGGCAUAUGGGUGCCUCAGUCAGUUAAGCGGAUGACUUGGGCUCAGAGCAUGAUCUCGUGGUUCUUGGGUUUGAGCCCCAUGUGGGGCUCUGUGCUGACAGCUCAGAGCCUGGAGCCUGCUUCCGAUUCCGUGUCUUCCUCUCUCUCUGCCCCUCCCCUGCUCACACUCUGUCUCUCUCUCAAAAAUGAAUUAACUGGAAAAAAAAAUGUCUUCCUCAAGAUUUGGGGCUAGACCCCAAAGCAGAAAUUACAGGUGACAGGUGAGAGUUGGGACACACUUUGAGAUGAAGUUCUCUAAGGAAUAGUAAAAUCUUCUAUAAUGCUUCUGGGAGGAGGGAUGAAGGGACAGUGACAGAAGUUCUUCCUUAAUUCCUUCUGGAAAUACAGGUUUCCCUCUGGACCAGAAUCCUAACAAGGUAGCUCAGUGAAUCUUUGAAAGACAAUUGGAAACCUGAUAUCAUGAUUUGUAGACUGAUUGACUGGGUUCAAAUCCCACUUCUGACAGCAAUUUGAAGUAGUCACUUCACUCUCUCAGCCUUGGCUUCCUCAUCUUGAGAUAAAUGAUACCUGAUUCAUAGAAAUGAUGUAAGGAUCAAAUGAGGAAAUAUGUAUGAAGUACUAUGUGUAUGUAUACAAAGUACACAGUAGACCUACAAAAAAAUGAUAGCUAUUACUAAUUGUGUGUGUCUGUCUAUAUAACAUUGUGCAUGUAUACUUUUCAUACGUGUGUAUAUAUAAGGUAUCUUAUGGCAAAGAAAUAUGAGAAGCAUUCUGGUUUGGGUUUUGGGUUUAUUGGAGGAGGUGAUUAAUAGCAUAUGAAAUGCUGUGGGUGUCAGACCCCCAAUAAUGAGUCCAGAAAACAGUGCACCAUGAUAAAGUUAUCCUGUCUUCUUGGUUAAUGGCUUUCCAAACACACUGAGAGUCAGUUUAGAUAAAAUAUUGCACAAGUGUCUGUAUGUCAAAGAAAAAUUUCACAGAACAGAGUUUGGCUGAAAAAGAAGAAGACAUAAUUCAAGUCUUCUUCAAGGGGAGAGAGAACUUAACUUCCCUAGAAACAAAAAAAAGCAGGAAGGUUUCUAAGGGCCGAGGUUAGCUAGUUGAAAAGUACUGGAGGACAUUAGUUUGGUCAAUGUGAUUAGGCCAUCUGUGUUUGCUGACACCAGUCUAGGUUCCUACCCUCCUACAGAAACUGGGAGACCUGGAUGCUACCUUUCUUGAUGAUAAUAUUUCAAAAGAUGUCUCCCAGGUCUCUGAAACAGAUGGUUCUCAGUUGUAAAAGGGGCAAGAGGCUAGGAAAAGAUUUACAUCUCAGAUGGGCAAAUAAAGAAUUUACAAUUGUAAGUUUUCUAAAGUAAAUGCUCUAAGACAAGGGAGGUCAGUGACCUAUUGUCACUAAGAAACCUGUCUAAAGUUUAGUCAAGCUGAGGAAAAUAAGGCCAUCUUGGUCAUGUUCCUGACUUAGCAGGAUCAGUCAAUGUAUCAGUCAGAGAGAGCCACCUAAGGCAUGUUUUCCCUGAUGCCACCAGGAACUACCUGUCCAAAACAAGUUCCCCACCCCCAUCUGUAAUAACCUGUCUCCUUUCUUACCUGUCUGAACGUUCCAACCAUUUGAGUCAUUCCCCUGUGUCAGAUGACAAAGGUGAGUGCACAACUCAUAGAAGGCCACUGUUACAGUGCUGGUGAGAUUUGGGGGACAGCAAUGAAGGACCUAUCUGCACCCCACUGUCAAGGCAAGGCCCUCGGCAAAAUUUUGAGCAGGUGAGUCAUCAUGACGUUGCAGAACUGGGUCCAAAGGCUUCCUGAUUCAAGCAGGAUGCUAACACUACUGAACCAGACCUGUGGUCUCAUCAAGAAGAAGGCUGAUUUUGAACUACCCUUUUGGUAGCUGUUGUAUGUUGGGCUCAUCUUUCAGGGCCUUCACCACAUCUUUCCCAGGCUUAAUAUUUGAGAAGUGAAGACAGAAACAGUAAAAUUAAGAUGAAAGAACGUGGUCUCCAAAAGUUGUCUCUGUUUCCACUUGCCAUAUAAUUUGGGCCUCCGUUUUUGAGAAGGCUAGAAACAUGUCUAACCGUGUAUCGUGACCUCCAACAUACCCUAUUGACCAGUCAGCCUUGUGGAAAGAAAAUAACUAGUGAUAUUGAUGACCUAUCAGACAUUUUGCAUUCAUAACAAAAAUACAAAAGAAUAUGUAAUGAAAGCAGCAGUGGUGGCCAGUUGAAGGCUGAUAUUCUGACAAUGGAAGGAAAGAAGGAACAAUGAAGAGAUGGAAGACACAAUGGUCCCAAAGAAGCCAACUGAACUGUCACUGCAGCUGAUCUCACCAAAGUGAUCAACAAUCUUCCUGUCACUCAAUAUGAAAGACACUUGAAGUCAUUGCAUUAUGGGACUGCUCUGCAGCACUGGACCCUGUUGACCAGACAAAACUCCUUGAAGUGCCAUCUUCCUUUACCUUCCUAGACACUGUCCUUUCCUGGUUUUCCUCCAUCCCCAGACUGAGCACUCUUCCGACAAACAGCUAUUGUCAGUUCCUCU